AACGCAUCUUGCGCCCCUUGGUAUUCCGAGGAGCAUGCCUGUUUCAGUGUCACGUAAACCCUCACACUUGUGAUGUAACAAUUGCAAGUUGUGGACUUGGACCGUGCCGUAGUUGGCUCGUCCUAAAUGCAUUAGCUUGCGCUUAUUAGAGUGCCUGGCAUUGGUGUGAUAAUUAUCUGUGCCUUCGCCUAAUGCCUCUUCCAAAGUGCUGCUUCUAAUCGUCCUAAAUGGACAACAUUUCAAACUUUGGCCUGAAAUCAGGUAGGACUACCCGCUGAACUUAA
rnacentral:misc_RNA from 1 species